GCCUAGCCGUAACACACAAUUAAACUACCAAUUGUCCGCCAAACAACUACGAGCCACACUUGAAACUUAAAAGACUUGACGGUACUUCAUCACGGCCUAGAGGAGCCUGUCUAAUAACCGACAAUCCACGAUUAACUCAACCCCUUCUUGCCCAACAGUCUAUAUACCGCCGUCGCCAGCUUACCUUGUAAAAGAAAUAAAGUGAGCUAAAUAGUACAACACUAAAACGACAGGUCGAGGUGUAACUUAUGAAAGGGACCAAGAUGGGCUACAUUCUCCACCCGAGAAUACGUAUAACACUAUGAAAUUAGUGUUUGAAGGCGGAUUUAACAGUAAGAUAAGAAUAAAAUACUUAACUGAACACAACGCAAUGAAGUGCGUACACACCGCCCGUCAUCCCUGCCACCACAAUAUAAACCUUAAUAAACUAACUUAAAAAUCAAACAGGGCAAGUCGUAACAUGGUAAGUGUACUGGAAAGUGUACUUAGAAA
rnacentral:rRNA from 1 species